CCUGGAGACUCCUACGGGAGGCAGCAGUAGGGAAUCUUCCGCAAUGGGCGAAAGCCUGACGGAGCAACGCCGCGUGAGUGAUGAAGGUCUUCGGAUCGUAAAACUCUGUUAUUAGGGAAGAACAUAUGUGUAAGUAACUGUGCACAUCUUGACGGUACCUAAUCAGAAAGCCACGGCUAACUACGUGCCAGCAGCCGCGGUAAUACGUAGGUGGCAAGCGUUAUCCGGAAUUAUUGGGCGUAAAGCGCGCGUAGGCGGUUUUUUAAGUCUGAUGUGAAAGCCCACGGCUCAACCGUGGAGGGUCAUUGGAAACUGGAAAACUUGAGUGCAGAAGAGGAAAGUGGAAUUCCAUGUGUAGCGGUGAAAUGCGCAGAGAUAUGGAGGAACACCAGUGGCGAAGGCGACUUUCUGGUCUGUAACUGACGCUGAUGUGCGAAAGCGUGGGGAUCAAACAGGAUUAGAUACCCUUGUAGUCCAGAAGUG
rnacentral:rRNA from 1 species